UACGUAGGGUGCGAGCGUUGUCCGGAAUUAUUGGGCGUAAAGGGCUCGUAGGCGGUCUGUCGCGUCGGGAGUGAAAACUCAGGGCUUAACCCUGAGCCUGCUUCCGAUACGGGCAGACUAGAGGUAUGCAGGGGAGAACGGAAUUUCUGGUGUAGCGGUGAAAUGCGCAGAUAUCAGGAGGAACACCGGUGGCGAAGGCGGUUCUCUGGGCAUUACCUGACGCUGAGGAGCGAAAGUGUGGGGAGCGAACAGG
rnacentral:rRNA from 1 species